rnacentral:rRNA from 1 species
UACGGAGGGUGCUAGCGUUGUUCGGAAUUACUGGGCGUAAAGCGCGCGUAGGCGGCUUUGUAAGUUAGAGGUGAAAGCCCGGGGCUCAACCCCGGAACUGCCUUUAAGACUGCAUCGCUUGAAUCCGGGAGAGGUGAGUGGAAUUCCGAGUGUAGAGGUGAAAUUCGUAGAUAUUCGGAAGAACACCAGUGGCGAAGGCGGCUCACUGGACCGGUAUUGACGCUGAUGUGCGAAAGCGUGGGGAGCAAACAGG